UUAUAAACAAAUGGAAUUAAUGGGUGAAUGAGAACCUUCCCAAAAAGCUGUGAUGGCAUGGUGUUCUCUAAAGCUGGAAAAGAUGCUGUUUAUUUCAUGAACUCACCCUUUGUGGGUACUUUCCAGUGCUAACUACAGCGGAAAUCAUUACCCAUCCGAAGUCGGUACCAUCGGCAAUUAUUUCCUGCACAGUAGGCAUAUUAAUGUGCAGUCUAUCAAAGACAUGGGAACAAAGAUAUUAAGUUAAUAUGUCACAUAGACCUUGGCAGGAAAGAAUCAUUUCUACUUGGAAGGAAGGAGAAUUAAACUGGGAAGUGACUGAGGGCGAAUACGUGGAAGGCAAGUCACAGUAGCCCCUUCUACACCCCCAUAACUGUUAUACGUCAAGCCAAGCACUCUUUCAUGCUGAGUGCAGAUGCAGCUCAGAAUCCUUCUCAAC
rnacentral:lncRNA from 1 species